rnacentral:misc_RNA from 1 species
GUGGGAGGGGGCUUGCUCCCGAUAGCGGUGGUUCAGCUAAGGAAUUCUUGGCUGACACACUGCAAUCGGGAGCAAGCCCCCUCCCAC